GAGCAAAUGAUGAUUCAUAUGAUUAUUAUUCUGAUACACUUGAUGUUUCAAAAUCGAGCUUUUUAAACCUGAUGCUCA
rfam:Triticum aestivum genome assembly, contig: Triticum_aestivum_CS42_TGACv1_scaffold_274836_3DS